rnacentral:rRNA from 1 species
GUGAGGAAUAUUGGACAAUGGGCGCAAGCCUGAUCCAGCCAUGCCGCGUGCAGGAAGACGCAUCUAUGGUGUGUAAACUGCUUUUGUACGGGAAGAAACACUCCCUCGUGAGGGAGCUUGACGGUACCGUAAGAAUAAGGAUCGGCUAACUCCGUGCCAGCAGCCGCGGUAAUACGGAGGAUCCAAGCGUUAUCCGGAAUCAUUGGGUUUAAAGGGUCCGUAGGCGGUUUAAUAAGUCAGUGGUGAAAGCCCAUCGCUCAACGAUGGAACGGCCAUUGAUACUGUUAGACUUGAAUUACAAGGAAGUAACUAGAAUAUGUAGUGUAGCGGUGAAAUGCUUAGAUAUUAGGAGGAACACCAGUGGCGAAGGCGGCUUGCUGGACGACAACUGACGCUGAGGCGCGAAAGCGUGGGGAGCAAACAGGAUUAGAAACCCUAGUAGUCC